rnacentral:lncRNA from 1 species
AGAACUUAGUAAACAAAUAUUUUCCAACAUCUCAAAGGCUUGACUUGGUAAAAAAUCAAAAUAAAAUAUACACACAUAAUUACUACAAAGAAAAUAAUCAUGUUGACUCAAAGAAAAAAAAGCAAAAGGGAUAAAGAUUGGGUUGCCUCCCAACAAGCUCUUUCCUCAUAGCCAUUAUGAUAGGUUUGAGGUUUUAAUGAUUCUCACUUCAAAGAUAAGAAUUGAAGCACAAAAAGAGUAUCAAAAAACAUGUAGCAAACGCAUUGAAGUAUAACAUAUUUCCUAUGUGUAGGCAUCUUAUAAGUAAACAAAUUAUCAAGGCAUGAAAAAUCUAUGCUAUGCAAGGAAGAAGGAAACAUUAAGAACUUUGACAUAAACAAAUACAAUUUAGUAAAAUGAAGAUUUUUAGAAGAGUCAAUUACACCACAGAUACCAUAACUUGGCGCGAAAAUUCAGUUUGGUGCUAAAACUUGCGGCAGACAUUGAACUGGUGUCACAACUUGGCUUUGACGUGCAUAUAUGAUGUAAAUCACAUUUCUAUACGAAUGUGAUGCAGAUUAGGCGUGGACGACCAAGAGGACGUGUGCAUGCUAUUUUGCAAACAAAAAGAACCUAUCAAGGUAGGAAGGGUCCACAGUUGUCAGUGUCACAUGAAUAAUAAGUAAGAAGCUGCACCAGCAGGUAUUCGAACCGCUGAUCUAACAUGUAGACUGCGCGCGGCUGACCACUUGUCCCAUGAUUUAUUUACUUUAUAAACGGAUGCCACCACUAUAUACCCUUUUGUAUUUUUUUAGAAAUGGGUUACAGUCCUGGUUGCAAUCCCUAAAGAGAUGCCGUUGAUCUAACGUUUAGACUUAAGUACUAAAUGAGUUCCAGUCCCAACUACCCAUUUUGUAUUUUUUAAGAAAUUUAUAUGAUGUAUAUAAAUUAUAAUUGUGUGUCAUAAUUAAUUGAAAUAUAAAAAAAUAAUUUACAUUAUAAAAUAAUCACAUAGUAAUUUCACAUUUAAUCAUAUCAUUACAUUAAAAAUUACAGAAUUGUUGAUGUAUUAAUGUGCAUAUUGAAUAGAAACAUAUAUUCAAUGCUUAUAUAAGUCUAAAAUCCUCCUAGUGUUAAAAAUAUAUUAGUAUGCUAUACNCCCUAAACCACCACUAUAUAUAGGAGGAGGGGGAGGGUCUAGCCUUGAGGCACAAGGCCUCAAGGUGCGUCGGCCGCCAGGAGGAGGAGGACUCCUCCAAUUCGGUUUGGGAAGGAGGAGUCCUCCUCUUCCUUCCCACCUCCCUCUUUCCUUUUUCUUUUUCUAUAUAUUUUUGUAAAUUCUUACAUAAAUUUUAAAAUAUUCAUAGUUUUUACAAAAUAUUCAUGUAGUAGGUUGAAGUGUUCAUGCUUUAAGAAAAAUGUAUUCAUACAAUGUAAAAAUAGUUGGCCGAGAUUCAAAGGAGCUACAUGGGUCCAUCACAUGCGAGUGACCACCACAGCACCCAGCAGCAUUACUUGUUUAGGAAUUUAUAAAAUAUAUGC